AUUGUGCCUUCGGGAACUCUGACACAGGUGCUGCAUGGCUGUCGUCAGCUCGUGUCGUGAGAUGUUGGUUAAGUCCGUAACGAGCGCAACCCUUGUCCUUAGUUACCAGCACGUUAUGGUGGGCACUCUAAGGAGACUGCCGGUGACAAACCGGAGGAAGGUGGGGAGUGACGUCAAGUCAUCAUGGCCCUUACGGCCUGGGCUACACACGUGCUACAAUGGUCGGUACAAAGGGUUGCCAAGCCGCGAGGUGGAGCUAAUCCCAUAAAACCGAUCGUAGUCCGGAUCGCAGUCUGCAACUCGACUGCGUGAAGUCGGAAUCGCUAGUAAUCGUGAAUCAGAAUGUCACGGUGAAUACGUUCCCGGGCCUU
rnacentral:rRNA from 1 species